rnacentral:rRNA from 1 species
UACGUAGGGUGCGAGCGUUAAUCGGAAUUACUGGGCGUAAAGUGUGCGCAGGCGGCAGAGCAAGUCGAGUGUGAAAGCCCCGGGCUUAACUUGGGAAUUGCGCUCGAAACUACUUUGCUGGAGUGUGGCAGAGGAAGGUGGAAUUCCACGUGUAGCGGUGAAAUGCGUAGAGAUGUGGAGGAACACCAAUGGCGAAUGCAGCCUUCUGGGCCAACACUGACGCUCAUGCACGAAAGCGUGGGGAGCAAACAGG